UCUAGCUGGAUGAGUCAAAAUGUUUUUACAGUCUUAGAUUUUGUCCUUGGGAAUAUCAAAAAUUCCAGCACUAUUCAUUUGGCAAACUCAUACAAGUAGUUUAUCUAAACUGCUGACUAAUUUCAAAUGAUAAACAAGCUCUGAGGAAGUUACAUUUCUUUUGUGAUAUCUCUGCAAGCAAUAAGACAACAUUCACUACACUUUCUAAAGGAAUUUAGACUCUUCAACAUGCCACAGAUUUACCUGCUAUUUGCUUCACUGCAGUAAAAGCAAGUGGUUAAAUGGAAAUUAACAUUUCAAGAGUAGCCAUGUGAUAAGAAAUGCAGGAAAUUAUGUGGGAUAGUUCAUUUCACUCAAGAGACAUUAUCUCAGCAGAUACAUUACAUUAUCUCAGAAGAUAGAUCCUGUUCUCCUGACUCUGUUAACUCCCAUUUGUUUCACAGUGAAGCAAUGCAUCACUCCUGUAGGAUGGCAAUGGCUAGCUAGUGAUUAUUUGGAAGGAGCCUUGUUACCUCCAAUCCUGGUUUUGUUUUGUGUAAGCUUAUGUAGUGUGUCAUCAGCAGUGACAUGCUUCUCAGAAUAUUGCUAACUCCUUCAUUUUCCUCCUGGAAAGAACAAAUGCUGUUCCACAGUCAGCAUUUUGACUUAAGCCAAAGUGGUGACGGGAGCCUAUGACAAGUGCAACUGCAGACAAAAAGUAGGCAAAAAAACGAAACUUUAUGUAAUGCUAGACUUAAUGCCAGACUUUAACUUAAACUUUAAAACUCAUGAUAGCAUUUGGCAAAAUUUGCAAGAAUUUUAUGUCCAAAUUCUACUUUGUUUUUGCAGAUAUUAUUCAUUCAUUCAUUCAUUCAUUCAAAACGUGAUUUUUAUGCAAGAGGGCAGUGCUGCUGAAAUGCACAAAAGGUCUGCAGAUCUUGCUCUCAGUCUGGAAAGGUGUGGAUAAUGCUGCUGAAGAGGGGCCAUGGUUAAAACAAGUACCUCACCACUAACUCGGUACCUCUGGCAAGGUAUUUUGUCCCUCAUUCUUUUUGCAUUUGUGUUCUCACACAUCCUUUCAAGCACAUGGGAUUGUCCUAUGCAGGGCCAGGAGCUGGAGUCAAUGAUCC
rnacentral:lncRNA from 1 species